AAAGCUGAACAGAAGUGUUUGCAAUUGAUGGAGUCCUCAAGUGUUGAGACAGAGGAUGAUGUGAACACUUUUGCAAUAAGGCAGCGUAAGCGCCCAAGGAGGUUUGUCUCCGAAUCCUCUGAUGAUGAUGAUUCUGCUCUAGUGGUAGCAGCAACCCAAGACUCUGACUGUGCCUGGAAGUCCUGUGUGUCGGCAGGACCCAAUGCCCCUACCACCACAAUGUAAGUGGUCAACACCAGCCGGGACUGGAGCCAGUCCUCACCACCCUAGCCCAAGUCCUGUUGACCCUGUUCAAGCCAGCAGCCGGGCACUACACCCAAUUCAGUCAGCCAGGCACCUCCAAGAAUCACUGGAAACCUCUUUUGACUCUGUUCAAGCCAGCAGCUGGGCGCUUCAUGACGGACAGGGUGUCUCAGCUAUCGCAGCCAUGUUUGAGAGAAUCACAGAGGCCCACAUGAGUCACUUGAUGCGGAGGAUCGAGGCUAGGUUUGACAGGACCGAGGCUAGGUUUGACA